GUUCAUAAAAAAUAUCAAGUUACUAAGAUCUCAAUAAUUGUGAUUCAUAGAGUUGGUAGGCAAUAAAAAAAAUAAAGAAUUCAUUAUUUUGUUUGAGAUUUCCAUUUUGUUUUAUUGCUGAUUUAUUUUACAAAUUAAUAAUUUUUUUAUAAACACUUAAAGAGGUCAUUCCUAUAGAAUCAAAAUAUAUAUUAUAUCAAAAUACCCUCCUGACCCACUGUGUCCCUAGGGCUGACUCACUGUGUACUCCCCAUAGGACACACUGGGUCAAUUCCCAUUUUAAAAAAAAUAUAUUUAUUUCAAAAACCGUCAGACUUAUGUAGAUAACUUUUUGAUCAAAGUAAGCUAACUAGCCUACCUCAAUUCCAUUAGAGUUUGACAUCAAUAGCUUGCUUAUUUUCGGAGCAAUAUUACUGUGAAAAAUGGGCGACCCACUGUUGCCACAACGACCCUAAUAUGAGUGUCAAAUAUGGUU